GGGUAUAGCUCAGUGGAACAGUGCAUGCUUAGCAUGCACGAGGUCCUGGGUUCAAUCCUCAGUACCUCCG
rnacentral:tRNA from 1 species